UGUGCCCUGUCACCCCACCUCUCCUCCCGGGAGGAAGCCCCUUGGGGCGGUCCCGCUGCCCCGCGCGGGUUCGGCAGCACCUCUUCCUGGGUGAGAGGGUGUCUGCCCGGGGAGCUGCCGAUCUCAGGCCCCCGGGGCUCCCGGCUCCCAGGCGCCCCCGACGCGACGCGCCGUUGCCACUACCCGGCGCUGGGGCAAGCCCUGCCCCUAAGCAGCUGCAAUUACCACGGUCGCCGCCGCCCUCAAGGCGGUGUUGAGGGUGGAGAAAAAGUAGGUGCCUAUCUCUUUAAGAGGGCCUCGCCACACGUGAUUCAUCAAAGUGCCCGCCGUCAGCCGCCCGGGCGCGGAAAGCCGCUUCCUACUCCCGGGCCGAGGCGGCCGGCUACUGAGCAUGCCCGGCGCGGCCACCCGAGCCAGGCGAGAGCGCCGGGGGCUGCGGCGGAGCGCAGAUUUCACUUCCCGGGGGCCCGGCGGGAAAGGGGAGGGAACUCGGCCAGAUCGAGGCGGUACAGCCCAUUUUAGAGAUGGGGCAAGUGAGGCCCGGGAGGAUCCCGUGUGAGUUUCACUGGCGGGCCCACCGGGUAGCCGCUGCCCCUGGCGUAGGCCAGAGCACUUUCCCUGGCAGACGCCUGGCCGGGGGUGUGGUCCCACUACGCUCUGUGGGAGGGGUUGAUUGGCAAGGCAACCGAGUCCUGGAGGAGCAACCACCAACGAGAGCGCUGAUGAAUUGCCUAGACAGACUGUAUGGGUCAAAGUGGAAAGAGUGGGUGUGCUUUCUGUUGCCAGGAUUGCCUUGCGACCCGAGAAAUACAGUCGUCCCUUUAUUCCCAUGCUGCUGGGGAGGAGAAGCAGCAGACGCCCACCGCUUAAUCCCCAGGGGAUGUAGUAAACUACCUGAGGAAGCAGAGAAGAGGGAGUCCAUGCUCCCAGACAGGGCGGACAAGGAGCCCUAAGCAUUUUGCUCCAGUUAAUGGAAACAGUAAUUAAAAACAAACAGCCUUACUUCAGGCAUCAGGGUCAUUGGCGUCGCUUGGAAGCUAACAUGCGAAAGGAUCCCCGGCUCUCCUGCAGGGGUGCUGGGUCCGCUGAUUAUGAACCAGGCAGCUCGCCAAGAGCAGUCCUAGGCUGUUCUCCCUGCACCCCCCUUCCUUUGUUUUACCUUCCUGGGACACACAAAUGGGGUGGAUGGAGAGAGAUCUUUUCUCUGAUGCUGAAGAAAGAAGGAGGCUCCUACCACCUGUGGGGAUGUCAAAAGCGUAGCUUAGACCCGCUGACCUUGUGGUCUCUGCCUCUCGCCUCUCACAAGUUUAGCACCCGGUCAGCCUUAAAAAGCCAACCCUGGUGAAGUGGUGUACCCACAACAUUACUAACAAUAAUGUACAACUGAAAUCUCACAAGGUUGUAAUCUAUCAUAAUCUUAAUAAAAAAAAAAAAAAAGCCA
rnacentral:lncRNA from 1 species